rnacentral:rRNA from 1 species
UACAGAGGGUGCGAGCGUUAAUCGGAAUUACUGGGCGUAAAGCGCGCGUAGGCGGCUUUGCAAGUCGGGUGUGAAAUCCCCAGGCUUAACCUGGGAACUGCAUUCGAGACUGCAUUGCUAGAGUAUGGGAGAGGGAAGUGGAAUUUCCGGUGUAGCGGUGAAAUGCGUAGAGAUGUGGAGGAACACCAGUGGCGAAGGCGACUCUUUGGUCUGUAACUGACGCUGAGGCGCGAAAGCGUGGGGAGCAAACAGG